CUCGCAGCCAAAUGCCACAUUGGCACAGGGGAGGACUUGGAAACCACACUGGGUCCGGUGUAUCCGCUGCAGGAGAGGUGCUGACUGACCUGCUGAGUGUUUCCAGUGUUUUUUGCACAUGCUUCUUUGGCCGUUGUGUGAGUACAGGAACAGCAUUGGGCACAAUACAGGAUGGGGCAUUGUUGCCAACCGGAUUUCUCUGGUAUGAUCUGGCUUGCUGGGUAUGUCCCAGUGAAUCUGACUCCACGUCAGUACCCAGACAUACAACAUUAGCCACACGUUACAGGAUGGGGGAAAGCUGCGGAGGGUUACAAAUGCAGCUGGUUCCAUCAUGGGCACUAGCCUCCCCUCCACUGAGGACGUCUUCAAAAGGUGAUGCUUCAAAAUCGGGGCAUACAUCAUUAAGGAACCACAUCACCUAGGACAUGCCCACUUCUUAUUGCUACCAUCGCGAACAAGUUACAGGAGCCUGAAGACCCACACUCAAUAUUUUAGGAGCAGCUUCUUCCUUUCUGCCAUCAGAUCACUGAACGGAUAAUGAACCAACCAUGAACUACCUCUCUCUUUUGCACUACUUAUACACAGUAUAUAUCUCUCAUUGUAACUUCUAGUUUAUUUUAUCUACUGCCACAACACAACUGAUUUAAAAACAUUUGCCAUUGAUACUAAAACUGAUUCUGAUUACGGUGGAGCUUAUCUGUCCGUUACUUCAUCCCACUGUGUUCCACUCGGAUCCUUCCCUCACCUUCUCUGCUACCACGUCUAACUUGUUUUCACUCUUGCUCAGUCCUGAUGAAGUGACUCCGACUGUUAACUGUUUCUUAUCCCGUAAACGCUGCUGAGUUCUUUUCAAACGUUUUCUGCUUUUGUGGCUGUACCUGAGCUGUACCGGACCCGGAUGGCUUACUGUUAGCCUUGAAGCCUAGGUGAAGGCUCGUUAGACAUAAU